GGUUAAGCGACUAAGCGUACACGGUGGAUGCCCUGGCAGUCAGAGGCGAUGAAGGACGUGCUAAUCUGCGAAAAGCGUCGGUAAGGUGAUAUGAACCGUUAUAACCGGCGAUGUCCGAAUGGGGAAACCCAGUGCAAUUCGUUGCACUAUCGUUAACUGAAUACAUAGGUUAACGAGGCGAACCGGGGGAACUGAAACAUCUAAGUACCCCGAGGAAAAGAAAUCAACCGAGAUUCCCCCAGUAGCGGCGAGCGAACGGGGAGCAGCCCAGAGUCUGAAUCAGCUUGUGUGUUAGUGGAACGGUCUGGAAAGUCCGACGGUACAGGGUGAUAGUCCCGUACACCAAAAUGCACAGGUUGUGAACUCGAAGAGUAGGGCGGGACACGUGGUAUCCUGUCUGAAUAUGGGGGGACCAUCCUCCAAGGCUAAAUACUCCUGACUGACCGAUAGUGAACCAGUACCGUGAGGGAAAGGCGAAAAGAACCCCGGCGAGGGGAGUGAAAAAGAACCUGAAACCGUGUACGUACAAGCAGUGGGAGCACCUUCGGGUGUGACUGCGUACCUUUUGUAUAAUGGGUCAGCGACUUAUAUUCUGUAGCAAGGUUAACCGUAUAGGGGAGCCGCAGGGAAACCGAGUCUUAACUGGGCGUUAAGUUGCAGGGUAUAGACCCGAAACCCGGUGAUCUAGCCAUGGGCAGGUUGAAGGUUGGGUAACACUAACUGGAGGACCGAACCGACUAAUGUUGAAAAAUUAGCGGAUGACUUGUGGCUGGGGGUGAAAGGCCAAUCAAACCGGGAGAUAGCUGGUUCUCCCCGAAAGCUAUUUAGGUAGCGCCUCGUGAAUUCAUCUUCGGGGGUAGAGCACUGUUUCGGCUAGGGGGUCAUCCCGACUUACCAACCCGAUGCAAACUACGAAUACCGAAGAAUGUUAUCACGGGAGACACACGGCGGGUGCUAACGUCCGUCGUGAAGAGGGAAACAACCCAGACCGCCAGCUAAGGUCCCAAAGUCAUGGUUAAGUGGGAAACGAUGUGGGAAGGCACAGACAGCCAGGAUGUUGGCUUAGAAGCAGCCAUCAUUUAAAGAAAGCGUAAUAGCUCACUGGUCGAGUCGGCCUGCGCGGAAGAUGUAACGGGGCUAAACCAUGCACCGAAGCUGCGGCAGCGACACUAUGUGUUGUUGGGUAGGGGAGCGUUCUGUAAGCCUGCGAAGGUGUGCUGUGAGGCAUGCUGGAGGUAUCAGAAGUGCGAAUGCUGACAUAAGUAACGAUAAAGCGGGUGAAAAGCCCGCUCGCCGGAAGACCAAGGGUUCCUGUCCAACGUUAAUCGGGGCAGGGUGAGUCGACCCCUAAGGCGAGGCCGAAAGGCGUAGUCGAUGGGAAACAGGUUAAUAUUCCUGUACUUGGUGUUACUGCGAAGGGGGGACGGAGAAGGCUAUGUUAGCCGGGCGACGGUUGUCCCGGUUUAAGCAUGUAGGCUGAUUAUCCAGGCAAAUCCGGAUAAUCAAGGCUGAGGUGUGAUGACGAGGCACUACGGUGCUGAAGUAACAAAUGCCCUGCUUCCAGGAAAAGCCUCUAAGCAUCAGGUAACAUCAAAUCGUACCCCAAACCGACACAGGUGGUCAGGUAGAGAAUACCAAGGCGCUUGAGAGAACUCGGGUGAAGGAACUAGGCAAAAUGGUGCCGUAACUUCGGGAGAAGGCACGCUGGUGUGUAGGUGAAGCCCCUGCGGGUGGAGCUGAGACCAGUCGAAGAUACCAGCUGGCUGCAACUGUUUAUUAAAAACACAGCACUGUGCAAACACGAAAGUGGACGUAUACGGUGUGACGCCUGCCCGGUGCCGGAAGGUUAAUUGAUGGGGUUAUCCGUAAGGAGAAGCUCUUGAUCGAAGCCCCGGUAAACGGCGGCCGUAACUAUAACGGUCCUAAGGUAGCGAAAUUCCUUGUCGGGUAAGUUCCGACCUGCACGAAUGGCGUAAUGAUGGCCAGGCUGUCUCCACCCGAGACUCAGUGAAAUUGAACUCGCUGUGAAGAUGCAGUGUACCCGCGGCAAGACGGAAAGACCCCGUGAACCUUUACUAUAGCUUGACACUGAACAUUGAGCCUUGAUGUGUAGGAUAGGUGGGAGGCUUUGAAGCGUGGACGCCAGUCUGCGUGGAGCCAACCUUGAAAUACCACCCUUUAAUGUUUGAUGUUCUAACGUUGGCCCCUGACCGGGGUUGCGGACAGUGUCUGGUGGGUAGUUUGACUGGGGCGGUCUCCUCCCAAAGCGUAACGGAGGAGCACGAAGGUUAGCUAAUCCUGGUCGGACAUCAGGAGGUUAGUGCAAUGGCAUAAGCUAGCUUGACUGCGAGCGUGACGGCGCGAGCAGGUGCGAAAGCAGGUCAUAGUGAUCCGGUGGUUCUGAAUGGAAGGGCCAUCGCUCAACGGAUAAAAGGUACUCCGGGGAUAACAGGCUGAUACCGCCCAAGAGUUCAUAUCGACGGCGGUGUUUGGCACCUCGAUGUCGGCUCAUCACAUCCUGGGGCUGAAGUAGGUCCCAAGGGUAUGGCUGUUCGCCAUUUAAAGUGGUACGCGAGCUGGGUUUAGAACGUCGUGAGACAGUUCGGUCCCUAUCUGCCGUGGGCGCUGGAGAAUUGAGGGGGGCUGCUCCUAGUACGAGAGGACCGGAGUGGACGCAUCACUGGUGUUCGGGUUGUCAUGCCAAUGGCACUGCCCGGUAGCUAAAUGCGGAAGAGAUAAGUGCUGAAAGCAUCUAAGCACGAAACUUGCCCCGAGAUGAGUUCUCCCUGAGACUUUAAGUCUCCUGAAGGAACGUUGAAGACGACGACGUUGAUAGGCCGGGUGUGUAAGCGCAGCGAUGCGUUGAGCUAACCGGUACUAAUGAACCGUGAGGCUUAACCUUAC
rnacentral:rRNA from 1 species